ensembl:lncRNA
ACUUCGCGCCAAGCAUAUACUGGCAUAUACUGGGAUUGCUUUGGGAUUGACAGUCUGCAGCGGAACUUUCUGUGUUCAGUAUGGACAUAAGGCGGUUUUUUGCGCCAACUUCUGCAAAACCUGCAGCGCCGAAGACCGCCCCAAAUGGAAACCCCGGCAAAGAUGCGAAGAAGCCUAAAUCUUCCUCAGACGAAGACCUAAAGAAUAAAAACAAAAGGCCAUCCAAGAUCAAAAGCCCUAAACCCGAAGCAAAACCGAGAGAAAGUGGCAAGAAACGAAAUAAACGUGCGAUCAUAGAAUCUGGUAGGAAAAUGUCAAGUUAUGUAAAGCGCCGACUACUGUCACCCGAUGACGGAGCCUUUCACGCACACAAUUU